UACGAAGGGGGCUAGCGUUGUUCGGAAUUACUGGGCGUAAAGCGCGCGCAGGCGGUCUUCCAAGUCAGUGGUGAAAGCCCGGAGCUCAACUCCGGAACUGCCAUUGAAACUGUAAGACUUGAGGAUGAGAGAGGUGAGUGGAAUUCCCAGUGUAGAGGUGAAAAUUCGUAGAUAUGGGGGAGGAACACCGGUGGCGAAGGCGGCCACCUGGACGGUAACUGACGCUGAGACGCGAAAGCGUGGGGAGCAAACAGG
rnacentral:rRNA from 1 species